UACAGAGGCCACGAGCGUUAGGCGGAAUCACUGGGCUUAAAGCGUGUGUAGGUGGAUGGGUAAGUACCUUGUGAAAUCCCACGGCUCAACCGUGGAACUGCUUGGUAUACUGCCUGUCUUGAGGCACUCAGGGGCGAGCGGAACAAAUGGUGGAGCGGUGAAAUGCGUAGAUAUCAUUUGGAACGCCAAUGGUGAAGACAGCUCGCUGGGGGGUACUGACACUGAGACACGAAAGCCAGGGGAGCAAACGGG
rnacentral:rRNA from 1 species